ACUCAAAUGAAUUGACGGGGGCUCGCACAAGCGGUGGAUCAUGAGGCUUAAUUCGUCGCUAAGCGAAAAACCUUACCAAGGCUAGAAACCAUACUGCAUUCCUAGUGAAAGCUAGGAAGCCUUCGAGGGUGUAUGGCAGGUGAUGCAUGGCCGUCGUCAGUUCGUGGCUUGAGCUGUUCCCUUAAGUGGGGAAACGAACGCAACCCUCGUUGCCUGUUACAAGUGUCAGGCGAGACUGCUCCCUCACGGGAGAGGAAGGUGAGGAUGACGCCAGGUCAGCAUGUCCCUAGAUGCCUUGGGCUGCACUCGUGAUACAAUGGUUGGUACAACAGGACGCAAUACCGUAAGGUGGAGCAAAUCCUUAUAAAACCAAUCUCAAUUCGGAUUGAGGUCUGCAACUCGACCUCAUGAAGUCGGAAUCGCUAGUAAUCGCGGAUCAGCAUUGCCGCGGUGAAUACGUUCCCGAGCCUUGUACACACCGCCCGU
rnacentral:rRNA from 1 species